rnacentral:rRNA from 1 species
AGAAUGACUCUCGACAACGGAUAUCUCGGCUCUCGCAUCGAUGAAGAACGUAGCAAAAUGCGAUACUUGGUGUGAAUUGCAGAAUCUCGUGAACCACCGAGUCUUUGAACGCAAGUUGCGCCCGAAGCCUUCUGGCCGAGGGCACGUCUGUCUGGGCGUCACGC